UUAUUUUUUUUAAUUUUUAAAUUGUUGGGGCAAUUUUGUAAAUAUACAAGUGUUAAAGGGUGUUCCUGAACAAGUCUGAACUCUGAACUAAAAAAAGAACGUUGUCUACGGAUUUUUCCCUACUCUCCCUUUCCCUCUUAUCUGACCACUGCCUCCGUCAAUGACGUCACCUCCGCCAUCAGCGCCGGCAUCAAAGCCCUCCAACUCCUCCAAAUUCGUCGACGCAACAUGCCUUCUCCCUCUCGGUCUGACCUGCAACUCACUGCCCCUUAACUAAGUAAAAUUUCUCCCAUUUAUCUCUGUAUGAAUGACGACCAACAUCGUCUCUCUUUCGUCGCCGCCGCCAUCGUCAAAAUUGUUUCUGUAGCCGGUGGACCUUAUCAUUGGAUGCGAUUUCACCUUUUUUUUCUCUCCAUGUUUUGCACGAGAUUUCGAAUAAGCAGAUAAUGACUUCGUCUCCUCGGGACUAGCAUUUGAAAUCCACGAUUUGAUAGAUGCUCUGCAACCACAUGAGGAAGAAGAUGAGGACAUCUCUACCUUUUGAAGUGGCACACUAGCUUCUUGUAAGGUAUGGUUUUGGUAAUUUUCCUUAUUAUAGAGCAAGAAAAACUAUGAUAACAAGUCUCUCAGAUUCCUCAAGUCUCAUAUAUAGGGUGUUAAUAGUUGUAAAUGAAGCCCACCAAGUGUGGUCAUUGAUAUGCCUAAGUUUUAAGAUUAUUAAUUGUUGUUAUAUUACCUUUUCACCCAUUAAGUUGAAAUGGAUUGUUUUUUUCUUCUUUCCCGAAAGAUGAUUUGAAAUCUUUGGUAAAUUACUUAAGGGCUGAUGGAAAUGUUUCAUUAAUUGGCCUUUAGGGUCGAUCCAUGGAAGUUGUAAAAAGGUAAUAACCUUUUGCCACCUGUCAAAGUCAACAUAAUAACCAUUGAAUGAAUCAACUGUAAUUAUAUGCCAAUUUAAUUUCAUUGCAUGUAGAAGAAAAAAUGGGUUAUAAAAUGUAUGAAAAUGGAAUGAAUUGCACAGAGGAUUCCAUUAAUCAACUCCGUUCCAAAAGGCCAACGAGUAGGACUGAGGUCAGUAUUUGGCUUUAUUUUUCUACUUUUGUUUCUUUUUAUUAUAGCAUUGUACAUUGAAAAAAUCUACACAGUUAUAGUUAUAAAGUGCAAUUACUUAACAAGAUAAUGAUUGAUGCUACAAUGUUGUAACAUAAAUUAAUAAAUGAAAGUACCUUUGUAUUUCUUACAUUUACAACCAAAUUCUCAAUGGAUUGGAAUCUUGAAUCUUGAAAACAUGCUUUACCAAAGUUCCCAAUUAUGGCAUCAUUCAUUAUGAAGCAACAAUCUACUUUCAUAUAAGUUGUAAUUGGGAAUUAUGGCAAAAGUACAUUGCUAUUAUGAGUAAAAACAUAAAAUAUGUUGUAUAAUUGUGAAAAAACUGAAAAUGGUUUCUAUUAUGAUUAUUUGAAAGUAUGCAACUAUAAUUAUGAAUUUCAUUAAAGUAUGUUGCUAUUUAUAAUCAUUAACUAUUUUUUUUUUUUCAAACUUCACGUGGAGGAAUAUUGUACUUAAAAUCACAUUUGUUUUACGCAUUAUCAAAAUUGCUACUUGUUGAUUCCCCUUUAUGGUCAACAUUGGAGGGAAUUUAUGGUAUCGGACAAUAUAUAAAUAUCUCUCAAUGAUAGGUAUCGAAUCCACGAGCUAUUGAAGAAUGAUACUCUCCAUCGGUUGUUGAGGUCGUGAGAAUUAUAGACGAAAUUUUGAAUUUGAUGUUUUUUAAAUAUCAAAUAUGGAUUAAGAUUUAUGGAUUUAAUGUAUGUCGAAUAUGGAUUUAACGGAUUGAAUUUUAUGGAUUUACUUUUAUA